AGCAGUGGGGAAUUUUGGACAAUGGGCGAAAGCCUGAUCCAGCAAUGCCGCGUGAGUGAAGAAGGCCUUCGGGUUGUAAAGCUCUUUUGUCAGGGAAGAAACGGUGAGAGCUAAUAUCUCUUGCUAAUGACGGUACCUGAAGAAUAAGCACCGGCUAACUACGUGCCAGCAGCCGCGGUAAUACGUAGGGUGCAAGCGUUAAUCGGAAUUACUGGGCGUAAAGCGUGCGCAGGCGGUUUUGUAAGUCUGACGUGAAAUCCCCGGGCUCAACCUGGGAAUUGCAUUGGAGACUGCAAGGCUAGAAUCUGGCAGAGGGGGGUAGAAUUCCACGUGUAGCAGUGAAAUGCGUAGAUAUGUGGAGGAACACCGAUGGCGAAGGCAGCCCCCUGGGUCAAGAUUGACGCUCAUG
rnacentral:rRNA from 1 species